GUGGAGUUGUACUUCGUUUUACAGGUAAAUUUCAAGGCACAGUCAGUUUUUAAGAAAGUGCUCCAAGACCCUAGGCAACGUGACAGUUCUCAGUUCCCUCUGAAUUUUAGUCUCUGCUACCUGGUGCUCUUUACCAAAGGAGCUCGCUGCAGGGUGAAAUUCAGGCGUGUUCUGCCCAGGCCUGCUGUCUUGAGUACAAAUGUGAAUGAUGGACUGACUGCUUGUUGCCAAACUGGAAAUGUUUUGUAGGGAUUUACUGGCAUGGUAUCAUUCCUAGGAAGAAGAAGAAAAAAAAAAGGAAAAAGAAAGAAAGAAAAAGGGACAGGAGAGGGAGAGAAACUUGACUGCACAUUUUUUUUUUAUUAUUAAAUCCAUGUUGUGACUUUUAUUUAAUUUCUAUAUUUUUUGGUAAUAAAAAGUUGACUUUUUAAUUUGAAUUUGUCUUUUUUUAUUUAUUGGUCUGAAAGGCAUUUCAAAGGUAUUAUAAUAAUAUAUUGGUGUAAUUUAAUUGGUGCAGCAUGCCUUCUGGGCUCCAGUCAAAGUUAGUUUUUAACUUAUUUGAUUGGUUUGAGAACAGCCUACAGGGAGAGGAAGAGAAGAGCUGGCUAAUUACCCCAAAGUGUUCAUCUUUCAUUGGAAACUGAAUUUUUAUCAUUUUUGUUUCUGUUUUUAUUUUAAAUUAAAUAAAUUGCAACAAACUGAACC
rnacentral:lncRNA from 1 species